AUGGUUGGAGUCCACACCUCUGGAACUUGGCACCUGAUCCUGGAAGGACAGAGGGGUUCUGCCAGCCUACUUGCGAAGCUUUCAGAGAUGUAUUGGGGACAUCGCAGCCCAUGGGAGCUCAGGCAGAGAAGAUGCAAGGUUGGAUGGAGAGCCGGGACUGCGCAGGAGGCGACAGGCAGUUGUGACGGGCUCCCAGACUUGGUGGUGUGUACCCCUUCUUCCCCCACGUACGUAUAUUCUGGGAUCGGGGGCGAUUCUUCUGUGGAGGGGGGUGCUUUCUCUCCUAGACCGUCUUUUCUCUUGCUUUUGGCUGUUUCCCUUUCCUGGAGGGAAUUUUUCCACUUUAAUUUUCAUUCUCCUUAG
rnacentral:lncRNA from 1 species